rnacentral:tRNA from 1 species
GGGGCCAUAGCUCAGCUGGGAGAGCGCCUGCCUUGCACGCAGGAGGGCAG